rnacentral:rRNA from 1 species
GGCACGCAGGCGGUGACUUAAGUGAGGUGUGAAAGCCCCGGGCUUAACCUGGGAAUUGCAUUUCAUACUGGGUCGCUAGAGUACUUUAGGGAGGGGUAGAAUUCCACGUGUAGCGGUGAAAUGCGUAGAGAUGUGGAGGAAUACCGAAGGCGAAGGCAGCCCCUUGGGAAUGUACUGACGCUCAUGUGCGAAAGCGUGGGGAGCAAACAGGAUUAGAUACCCUGGUAGUCCACGCUGUAAACGAUGUCGAUUUGGGGGUUGAACUUUGAGUUUGGCGCCCGUAGCUAACGUGAUAAAUCGACCGCCUGGGGAGUACGGCCGCAAGGUUAAAACUCAAAUGAAUUGACGGGGGCCCGCACAAGCGGUGGAGCAUGUGGUUUAAUUCGAUGCAACGCGAAGAACCUUACCUACUCUUGACAUCCAGA